rnacentral:rRNA from 1 species
AUACGUAGGGGGCGAGCGUUGUCCGGAAUGAUUGGGCGUAAAGGGCGCGUAGGCGGCUUUGCAAGUCAGUAGUGGAAGUCCAUUUUUCAAGGAUGGAAGUGCUACAGAAACUGCGGAGCUUGAGUGCAGGAGAGGUUAUCGGAAUUCCCGGUGUAGCGGUGAAAUGCGUAGAGAUCGGGAGGAACACCAGUGGCGAAGGCGGGUAACUGGACUGCAACUGACGCUGAGGCGCGAAAGUGUGGGGAGCAAACAGGAAUAGAUACCCUGGUAGUCCACACUGUAAACGAUGAAUGCUAGGUGUAGGAGGUAUCGACCCCUUCUGUGCCGCAGUAAACACAGUAAGCAUUCCGCCUGGGGAGUAUGGUCGCAAGAUUAAAACUCAAAAGAAUUGACGGGG